ACAGUGUUCGCUGCCCGUACGGGUAGCAAACCUCACCCUUUGUAUAUUAUAUCUCUGUUGCUUUGGCACGCCGCCUUCGGGCACCGGCCUAGGCUGGCUCGCGCGUGCCGAGGGACCUACAACUCUGAAAUGUUAGUGUCGUCUGAGUACUAUCUAAUAGUUAAAACUUUCAACAACGGAUCUCUUGGCUCUGGCAUCGAUGAAGAACGCAGCGAAAUGCGAUAAGUAAUGUGAAUUGCAGAAUUCAGUGAAUCAUCGAAUCUUUGAACGCACAUUGCGCCCGGUGGUAUUCCGCCGGGCAUGCCUGUUCGAGCGUCAUUUAAACCAAUCCGGCCUCGUGCUUGGGUCUUGGGCUUCGCCGUUCGGCGGGCUUUAAAAUCAGUGGCGGUGCCCUCUGGCUCUAAGCGUAGUAACAUCUCCCGCUAUAGACGCCCGAUGGUAUCCUGCCAGCAACCCCUAUAUUUCAAAGGUUGACCUCGGAUCAGGUAGGGAUACCCGCUGAACUUAA
rnacentral:rRNA from 1 species